GUGCCUUCUUGUUUACAGAAGCGACCUCCAGUCCUUUAAACCCAGCCUUGGAAACCGAGCCAAACUCACCUGGAUCUCAUGCGCUGCCUCCAAUAAAUCACUGUAAAUAAAUCUGCACUUGUAAAAUACUCACCUGUGGAACUUCACCUGUUGGACCUCCUCCUCCAAGUUUCAUCUCCUUCAUCAACCUGUCCCGUCCCCAGAUCCCAGCACCAUUGUAAAUAAAAUCACUUAUCUUUUAUAUU